rnacentral:rRNA from 1 species
UACAGAGGGUGCGAGCGUUGUCCGGAAUCACUGGGCGUAAAGGGCGCGUAGGCGGUGACUUAAGCGUGUGGUGAAAGCUCGGGGCUCAACCCCGAGUCGGCCGUGCGAACCGGGUCACUGGAGCAGAUCAGAGGCAGGCGGAAUUCCGGGUGUAGCGGUGGAAUGCGUAGAGAUCCGGAAGAACACCGGUGGCGAAGGCGGCCUGCUGGGAUCUUGCUGACGCUGAGGCGCGACAGCGUGGGGAGCAAACAGG